CCUCUCUUUCCUUCAUCUCUUCUUCGUCCUAUUCCUCUUCUACAGGCAGCCGCUUCCUCCCUCCCUCUCGGCUGCCUCGUCUCCUCUGCCUCCACCUCCUCCUCCUCACUCGACCUCCCUUGCCUCCUCACCCGACUAGCACGGAUAGGACGACGUGCAGGCAAAGGGAGAUGGCGGCGGCGCUCGAUCCGAUCUGUAGGAGAGAGAAGAUGAGAGGGAGAGAUAGAAGGAAGGAGAGAAUGGAUGGUGUGGUCUUCAUGACGCGUGUGGAGGAGCAGGAGAGAAGAUGAGAGGGAGAGGGAGAGGAUCUUGACGAAGAGUAUAGAACAAGAAAAUCUGUGCUGCUUACUGGAAUCAUGUUGUUCAAGGUAAAACCAGCAAAGUUCUCUUUGAUGUUCCUUACAUUAGAUUAACCUGUUUCUUGCCAUAUCUCAAUUUUUGUGUGCCUAUUUUAGUGCAAUAUUUAGAACUGUACUAACCGCAGAUUCAGUUUGGAAUUAGAACUGCCCCGUCGUUUAUGUUUGAGACGCUCGAACAUCCGGAGGCUAGCCCAUACUACACCACCAUAUGUUGACAUCUUUUGAUCCGAGCAAAUGUUGAAGUAAAAAAAAAACACCAUUAGUAAGAGAGUAUAUAUGUAUAUUUCAAGGAAGGAUGGGUGAAAUAGCAGGUCAGAGAUGCUACAAUAUACUUUGUUUGUUUGGGUUUGGGAGCCAGCCAGCGCACCGCCUCGUCAGUUUCGCACCGCUGCCAGGUCCGUUGCCUUGGAUUCGGGUGUGGUGUUGGCUGGGAACCGUACGGUGUUUGUCUGACGUGUCGUCCGCACCGGGGAGGGGGGGGGGGGGGGGGGUCGGUCGACUCCAGAGGCGACCCGGCACCGGCGCAUGCCCGGCGGUGGGACUUCGCCGUGGCCGGUGGGCGGCAGCAAGCGGUGCGGCGAGGGGAGGCGCACGGUCCAGAGGGUGGGACUCUUGCUAGCCGCUCUCCCGUUCCCGUUGGUUUCUUGCGGCCACGGUGGCGUUUCUCAGAUCGAGCGCCGCUCAUCCUUCUCCUCUUCGCUGCUUCUCCACAACGCUAGCCCCUCCACCUCUCCUUCCUCCCCUUCGUUGUGUGGUGGACAUGGGAUGCGCCUAGAUCCAGAUCGGGCGUAGGUUAGGUGAGGCUGAUGGUUGGGUGAAGGAGUAGGGGAGGCGGGCGACGAGGACAGGAAGAAGCCGGCCGUCGUGGUGCAGUGGGGCUGCCGGGAAGGAAGAGGUCGGCUGCGUCCCCGGCGGUGUCGGUGGAACUGCUCCUCAACGAGAUUCGGCCAUGGAGAGGACCGUGGUGCCAGCGCAGCCUCGCCCCCUCUAGCGCCAUCGAACUGAGAUGGCAAGCACCAUUUUGUUGGUUCCUGUCUUGCCAAUGUCUACAGCAAUGUGUGUGUCCUCUGUCUCAUCUGUGGGGCAACUCAUAAUGGGCCUAUCAAGCAUACUGACCUUGUGAUGAUAGAUAAAGAGGUUGAUUUCAGUGCCAUUCAGAUAAUAUAUUUUUAGCCCUGUGAAUUGAAAAAUGAGUGCUUCUUGGUUGUUUCUGUUGUUGGUGGCACUUCUUGGUGUGUUAACUAAAUGGUUUAGUCCUGCGCUUCAUAGAAGCAGUUUUAACUAAAUGUAAUGAACUAAUUAAGUGCCUUCUUUUAUUGUUGGCUAAUCCUUUAGUUUUAUCGCAUGCUACAUUCUAUAUGAUGAUACGCUACCACUCUAAUACGUCCAGGCACUAUAAACCCUAUGUCAGCUAUGUAUGAAUUUGGAAUCUAUAUUGCAGAAGUAUUUGCGACUGUUGUA